AUGCAGAGGGCAUGGGGACUCCACAAGGAAGCAAAAUUCAGUGAUAUAGGCGGAAACAAAUUUGUGGUACACUUUGGCAGUGAAGGAGAUUGGAGGCAUGCUCUUAAUGGAGGUCCAUGGCAGUUUGACUUUAAUGUGGUUGUGAUAAAAGAUUAUGAAGGAAACAUAAGGCCGUCGGAGAUGGUUUUUGACAUAGUGGAGGUUUGGGUUAGGGUGACUGACCUUCCUCUGGAUAACCGAUCAGAGGCGUUUGGGAAGGCAUUAGGAAACUGGCUUGGUACUGUAGUCAAGGUAGAUGUGGAGAAAGAUGGUUUUGCUAAAGGGGUUCAUCUUAGGGUACGUACAAGGCUGUCAAUAUUUGAGCCCCUGGUGAGGGGUUUUAACUUGAAGGAAUUAGUUCAUGGUGUAGAGGGAUGUGUGCCUCCUGUUAAAUCUGAUUCACAAUGGGGGGAGUGGCUCCGUGCGUCUCCAGGUCGCUCAUCCUCUUUCAAGGAAGGGAUGCAGAAGGGAGGGGGUCAUAGCAGCCAAAGUUUUAACAGCGCUCCUUCGAGCGAGAGUGACAGAGGAAGAAUGAAUAGUGGACGAGUCCGAGAUCACCCUACCAAGAGAAAUCCGAAUAGGGACUUCAAUGUCUCAGCUGACUCCGGUACUGGUGGGGACGACAGGAGGGAAUGUGAAGAGGUGAAUAGCCCAAAUAAGCAACGACACUGGCCGGCUGCGGAGAAGGGAAAGGAAUCACGACACUGGCCGGGGGAGGAAGGAAAGAAGGAACCACACACGAAGGAUCUUAGAGAUGAUCUGGAGCAAAGAAGGGAUAAGAAUCCGAGGAACAAACUAAAGAAUAAACAGAUGGACAUGCGUCAAGAACUGAGAAUGAGAUAUGCUGCUAAGAGUUAUAUGGGUGCAGGUGGUUCGGGGCAGUACAUAGAAAGGGAGAGGCGACCCGGGUAUUACGUACGGAGACCAAGUGGAGGGCUGGCAUUAUGGUGGAGGGACAGUAUUCAGGUGAAGAUCAAACCUUGGUGCCAAUAUUUUAUUGAUGCGGAGAUACAGACCGACGGGAAGACCUGUAGAUUCACUGGUUUCUAUGGGGAACCACGAACAGAAUUGAGGAAGUUGUGGGACGCAAUUAGGUAUCUCAGAGAGCAGGAUGACUUGCCGUGGCUAUGUGCAGGUGACUUCAAUGAAGCCAUGUUUCAAGGUGAUCAAUGUGGGGGCAACAUUCGAAGUUUUGCACAAAUGGAAGACUUCCGGGUUUGCUUGGCAGAUUGCGGACUGGUGGACCUUGGGUACUCCGGAUAUCCUUACACAUGGGACAACAAGCGAGAAGGUGAUGAAAAUAUUCAGGUGAGGCUAGACCGAGCGACUUGUAAUGAUGGGUUUGCAGAGUUAUUUCCAGGAACAUCUGUUGAGCAUAUCAUAACAGAGGAGUCCGACCACAUAGCACUUAUUAUCCACGCUUUGGAGACAGCUCCAAGUAACGAUAGAAAGGGACACAGAGAUUUCAAGUGGGAGGAGGCGUGGGUAAAGUAUACAAAAUAUGAGGAGAUGGUUUCAGCUGCAUGGCAUGUAGUGAACAAUGGAGACAGAGGGAUAGCAGCAGUAUGGUCCAAACUAGAAAGAGUGUCAGCGGAGAUGCAACAAUGGGGCCGUACUGUUUUUGGUUCUAUUAGAAAGCAGAUUGGCAAACUUAAAGCACAACUUGAGGAUGCCAAAAGGAGGGCACUUAUAACCGGGUCCUCACUGGAGGUCCGGGAUUUGGAAGGCAAACUGAGGCAUAUUUAUGAAAAAGAGGAGAUUUUAUAUAAGCAACGCUCUAGAGUGGAUUGGUUGGCUGCAGGGGUCCAAAACACGAAAUACUUUCAAAAUAGAUGCUCCCAUAGGAAGAGGAAGAAUACGGUCAAGGCGCUGGUACGAGAGGAUGGCGCAAGAUGCACUACGGAUGAUGGAAUCAGGGAGAUGGCAGCCACGUUCUAUGAAAAACUAUUCAUGUCUGAGGGGAGUAUAAUCUUUGGUUGUGAUCUGCUGAGAGAAGGCACUAUAUGGCGUAUUGGAAGUGGAUCAAAGAUCAAUAUACAUCACGAUAACUGGAUACCGAGGCAGGGAAGCAUGAAGCCACUUGGGCAAGUUUAUGUACACGGGGUGUCCAAGGUACAUGAUCUCUUGACGCCAAGCGGUAAAGAAUGGAAUGAGAGCUUGCUAGAUGACAUGUUCUCACCGGAGGACGCCAAGGAUAUCAAACAAAUAGCUGUUGGGGGUCCAAACAUGGAGGACUAUAUCGCCUGGAAUUAUACGAAAAACGGACAGUUUACAGUGAGAUCAGCCUACCACUUGCGAAUGACGCUAAAUGGGGUGAAGACCGGACGUCCGGGUCCUUCUUCCUCGGUUCAUAAGCAUAAGGGAUGGUUGGGCUUGUGGGAUUCUUGUGCUCCAAAUAAAGCAAAGAUCCACAUGUGGCUGCUCAUGCGGAACAGACUAGCGGUGGGAGCGGAGCUACUAAGGCGACGCAUCAAGCCCCGGGUGUUCUGCACAACAUGUGGGAGAGAAGAGACACUACUUCAUAGGUUUUGUACGUGUCCACAUUCGGUGCUUUUCUGGAAAUUUUUGCGCUCGGAGAAAGGAGUCGCGGUGGCAACACCACCGAGUAACAUUGACUCCUCGAGUGUAUUAUCAUCAUGGCUGUUGGGUUGGUUCGUGGAGGCGGGGGUGGACGACCGGGCAGCAAUGGUUCAGGCUUGCUAUGGACUAUGGAUGGCUUGGAACGAAGCGAAGAACAACAAGAAGAUUGCAGCACCACAUGAAAUAAUGACCUCAGUGUGCGCGCACAUGUCGGAAUGGAGUGCUGUGCAUAGAAGGGAGGCCCCGGAGCGGAAAAUGAAGGAAGCGUUCAAGUGGACAGCACCUGCGGAGGGGUGGAUCAAAGCAAACUCCGACGGAGCGGUGUCCAAGCACGGAGAGAAGGGAGAAGGUGGGGUGAUCUUGAGAGACCACGCAGGAGACUUCCGAGCGGCUGCCUGCCAUUUUUAUCAACACGAAACUGAACCUGAGAUGGUAGAGAUCCUAGCAUGCAAGAGAGCCGUUGAGUUGGCAGCGGAGAUUAAUGUGCGGAAGCUUCACCUAGAGACGGACAACAAGGUUGUGGCGCUGAUCCUACAGAAUGAAGGGAAGAACUUGGCUGCUAUGGACCAAGAAGAAGAGAGACAGAGGAGGAUCCAGGGUGGAGGAGAGGUAGGAGAAGAAGGACGAGGAAGAUGGAAGGGUGCGGCAGGGGUGCAGCGGUGCGAGGGCACUGGUGCGCGUGAGGAGCGCCUCUCCUCGGGAGGAUCAGGGAGGAGCGAGUGAAACUCAAAUCGACUUCAGAGCAAGGUACUGGUGUAGAACUACGAAGAAGCAAGAUGACCAGAUGCACACGUACUAGCCGGCAACAACGAUGAAGGAAGCCAACCAGAUGUGCACAAAACUACACUACAUCAUGCCUAAUUGAAUCCUCCGGUACGUGUUCCAUUGGCUAAUAGACCAUGCUAGCUAGCUAGCAACCAUGUAAAUUCCCCACGCUUGAUUGAUUCCUUUGGGACUUUAUUAACUUCUAUAUGUUCUUCCCAUGAUUAUCUAGAUAGUGCUAACUGUUGAUAUUUCUUUCACGCAUACAUGGUUUUGCUUGGAGUUUUUCCACUGGCGACGUCUGAACUCUGAAUAUUAUGAACUUAAGGAUAAAUCUUAUAGCAGAUCAAAAUCAUGGUCCACCCAAAAAGAAGAGACCAGAAUCAUGGUUGUGCUGAUUCCAUAGGGGCCUCGUGAUGGUUUGUGUUCUUUUAUUCAAAUGAAAAAACCAAGAUUAUUAUUGUAACUGUUACAGUUGUACUAGCAGGAUUAUCCUAGAAGCUGUGCCAAUUUUCCAUCAAUUGAUAACACUGUAAGGUAGUGAGUCAUCUUUGUAGACUUUACCAUGCCUAGAUUGGUUGACUUGGAUCAUGUGUAUGUCUUACACUUUUAGACAAUUCUCACUUGCUAUGCUAAGCUCGAAUUUGAAGAUACAAGUUGAGGUGUGUCUUGGGACAGUGUGACUAAAAACCGAACCUUCAGUUUAUGCAAUCAAAAGAAAAGUGAAUGAUUUUUCAAUGAAAACAGAAUACUUCUGAGCAUAAGGAUGAAAAAGUGCAGCAACUGACUUGGCUUAUUGUUUUGGAAAUUGCAACCGGUGCUCUCCUUCUUGUUUUUGUGAUCACUGGUGCUGUUACUGCCUCCAGAAGCUUCAAUCUAAAGCCUUCUAUAAGAAUAUCAUCAUGGAGUAGAUCAAAAAGUUGGAGCAACGAGAUAACAAUACUGAUUGGUUGGUAUUAACUAUAUAAAAUAAAUUGAUUAUUUUGUCUAACAUACAUUGUUGCUAAUUUGUUCAUGCUUUCCUCAGAUUCUGAUAUGCUGAAAAGUUUGCCAAAGUUGAGUCACUAGGAACUUGAAGUAGUGUGUUAGGAUUUUAGCAACAUAAUUGGCUCAACUCUGGAGACUAUAGUCUACAAAGAAACAAUGAAGGAUGGACCUGAGGUUUCUGUCAUAUCAUUAUGCGCCUUUGAAGGUCAUUAGACUAGCCAGCAUGAGCUCUUUUACCAAAAUAAGGUAGUUCGUUUGUCUAAAAUUGCGACUCAGAAACACCUUUUAACUCAAAUAGUAAAUAAAUAAAAUGGGAUGAACAUUGUAGGUUAUUGAUCUGGCAAGGUUGAAUCAUGAGAACAUAGCAAAAUUUCUGGGCUAUUGUAGAGAGAGUGACCCAUUCUCGAGGAUGUUAAUCUUUGAGUAAAAAUCAAAUGGGACCCUGUACGAGCACCCACACUGUAAGUCUAUCUCUUCAAUUUCAUUAGGACAGACUAAAUAUUUGCAUUUUCUGUGUGUUGUAGAUUUGAUCUCAUUUGUUUUCGUCCUUUAUAUGGUGGGGAAGCGGCCCAAUUCUCUUGGCUCAGAUGA
rnacentral:rRNA from 1 species